GACGAACGCUGGCGGCGUGCUUAACACAUGCAAGUCGAACGAAGUGGCGAACGGGUGAGUAACGCGUAAUCAACCUGCCCUUCAGAGGGGGACAACAGUUGGAAACGACUUCUAAUACCCCAUACGGCAUGGGGGGUUUGCGUCGGAUUAGCUAGUUGGAGGGGGAACGGCCCACCAAGGCGAGGAGCAGUAGCCGGUCUUGUAGGAUGAACGGCCACAUUGGGACUGAGACACGGCCCAGACUCCUACGGGAGGCAGCAGUGGGGAAUCUUCCGCAAUGGACGAAAGUCCGACGGAGCAACGCCGCGUGAGUGAUGACGGCCCUCGGGUUGUAAAGCUCUGUUAAUCGGGACGCGGUACCGGAAUAGAAAGCCACGGCUAACUACGUGCCAGCAGCCGCGGUAAUAC
rnacentral:rRNA from 1 species